GAUGAACGCUAGCUACAGGCUUAACACAUGCAAGUCGAGGGGCAUCAGGAAGAAAGCUUGCUUUCUUUGCUGGCGACCGGCGCACGGGUGAGUAACACGUAUCCAACCUGCCCUUUACUCGGGGAUAGCCUUUCGAAAGAAAGAUUAAUACCCGAUAGCAUAAUGAUUCCGCAUGGUUUCAUUAUUAAAGGAUUCCGGUAAAGGAUGGGGAUGCGUUCCAUUAGGUUGUUGGUGAGGUAACGGCCCACCAAGCCUUCGAUGGAUAGGGGUUCUGAGAGGAAGGUCCCCCACAUUGGAACUGAGACACGGUCCAAACUCCUACGGGAGGCAGCAGUGAGGAAUAUUGGUCAAUGGGCGCUAGCCUGAACCAGCCAAGUAGCGUGAAGGAUGAAGGCUCUAUGGGUCGUAAACUUCUUUUAUAUAAGAAUAAAGUGCAGUAUGUAUACUGUUUUGUAUGUAUUAUAUGAAUAAGGAUCGGCUAACUCCGUGCCAGCAGCCGCGGCAAUACGGAGGAUCCGAGCGUUAUCCGGAUUUAUUGGGUUUAAAGGGAGCGUAGGUGGACUGGUAAGUCAGUUGUGAAGGUUUGCGGCUCAACCGUAAAAUUGCAGUUGAUACUGUCAGUCUUGAGUACAGUAGAGGUGGGCGGAAUUCGUGGUGUAGCGGUGAAAUGCUUAGAUAUCACGAAGAACUCCGAUUGCGAAGGCAGCUCACUGGACUGCAACUGACACUGAUGCUCGAAAGUGUGGGUAUCAAACAGGAUUAGAUACCCUGGUAGUCCACACAGUAAACGAUGAAUACUCGCUGUUUGCGAUAUACAGUAAGCGGCCAAGCGAAAGCAUUAAAUAUUCCACCUGGGGAGUACGCCGGCAACGGUGAAACUCAAAGGAAUUGACGGGGGCCCGCACAAGCGGAGGAACAUGUGGUUUAAUUCGAUGAUACGCGAGGAACCUUACCCGGGCUUAAAUUGCAGUGGAAUGAUGUGGAAACAUGUCAGUGAGCAAUCACCGCUGUGAAGGUGCUGCAUGGUUGUCGUCAGCUCGUGCCGUGAGGUGUCGGCUUAAGUGCCAUAACGAGCGCAACCCUUAUCUUUAGUUACUAACAGGUUAUGCUGAGGACUCUAGAGAGACUGCCGUCGUAAGAUGUGAGGAAGGUGGGGAUGACGUCAAAUCAGCACGGCCCUUACGUCCGGGGCUACACACGUGUUACAAUGGGGGGUACAGAAGGCAGCUAGCGGGUGACCGUAUGCUAAUCCCAAAAUCCUCUCUCAGUUCGGAUCGAAGUCUGCAACCCGACUUCGUGAAGCUGGAUUCGCUAGUAAUCGCGCAUCAGCCACGGCGCGGUGAAUACGUUCCCGGGCCUUGUACACACCGCCCGUCAAGCCAUGGGAGCCGGGGGUACCUGAAGUACGUAACCGCAAGGA
rnacentral:rRNA from 1 species